GACGAACGCUGGCGGCGUGCCUAAUACAUGCAAGUCGAACGCAGUGGGGACGGGAGAGUAACACGUGGGUAACCUCCCAUAAGAGGGGAUAACAAUUGGAAAAAGGUGCUAAAGCGCUAGUGAUGGAUGGAAACGCGGUGCAUGGGGUAGUUGGUGAGGUAACGGCUGACCAAGGCCACGAUGCAUAGCCAACCGGAGAGGGUGACAUGCCACACUGGGACUCAGACACGGCCGCGACUCCUACGGGAGGCAGCAGUAGAGAAUCUUCGGCAAUGUACGAAAGUCUGACAGAGCAACGCCCCGUGAGUUAAGAGGGUGUUCGGAUCGUAAGACUUUGUUGUUAGAGAAGCGGUAUCUAACCAGAAAGCCACGGCUAACUACGUGCCAGCAGCCGCGGUAAUAC
rnacentral:rRNA from 1 species